CCUACGGGUGGCAGCAGUAGGGAAUCUUCCACAAUGGGCGAAAGCCUGAUGGAGCAACGCCGCGUGAAGGAAGAAGGCUUUCGGGUUGUAAACUUCUUUUAAGAGGGAAGAGCAGAAGACGGUACCUCUUGAAUAAGCCACGGCUAACUACGUGCCAGCAGCCGCGGUAAUACGUAGGUGGCAAGCGUUGUCCGGAUUUACUGGGUGUAAAGGGCGUGUAGCCGGGCUGACAAGUCAGAUGUGAAAUCCCGUGGCUCAACCACGGAACUGCAUUUGAAACUGUCGGUCUUGAGUAUCGGAGAGGCAGGCGGAAUUCCUAGUGUAGCGGUGAAAUGCGUAGAUAUUAGGAGGAACACCAGUGGCGAAGGCGGCCUGCUGGACGACAACUGACGGUGAGGCGCGAAAGCGUGGGGAGCAAACAGGAUUAGAUACCCUAGUAGUC
rnacentral:rRNA from 1 species